GACAGAGGGUGCAAACGUUGUUCGGAAUUACUGGGCGUAAAGCGCGUGUAGGCUGCUCUGCAGGUCGGAUGUGAAAGCCCUGGGCUCAACCUAGGAAGUGCAUUCGAAACCGCGGAGCUUGAGUCUUGGAGAGGGUCGCGGAAUUCUCGGUGUAGAGGUGAAAUUCGUAGAUAUCGAGAGGAACACCUGCGGCGAAGGCGGGUAGCUGGGCCGACACUGACGCUGAUGCGCGAAAGCCAGGGGAGCGAACGGG
rnacentral:rRNA from 1 species